GUACACACCGCCCGUCGCUACUACCGAUUGGAUGAUGCGGUGAAAUCUUCGGACCGAUGUGGGGUCAAUGGGCCUAGCCCUCCCGCGUUGGAAAGUUGAUUGAAUCUUAUCAUCUAGAGGAAGGAGAAGUCGUAACAAGGUAUCCGUAGGUGAACCUGCAGAAGGAUCA
rnacentral:rRNA from 1 species